UCCUACGGGAGGCAGCAGUAGGGAAUCUUCCGCAAUGGACGAAAGUCUGACGGAGCAACGCCGCGUGAGUGAUGAAGGCUUUCGGGUCGUAAAACUCUGUUGUUAGGGAAGAACAAGUGCUAGUUGAAUAAGCUGGCACCUUGACGGUACCUAACCAGAAAGCCACGGCUAACUACGUGCCAGCAGCCGCGGUAAUACGUAGGUGGCGAGCGUUAUCCGGAUUUACUGGGUGUAAAGGGCGUGUAGGCGGGUCAUCAAGUCGGGUGUGAAAUAUUCGGGCUUAACCCGGACAGGUCAUCCGAAACUGGAGAUCUUGAGUGCUGGAGAGGAUAGUGGAAUUCCUGGUGUAGCGGUAAAAUGCGUAGAUAUCAGGAGGAACACCAGUGGCGAAGGCGGCUAUCUGGACAGUAACUGACGCUGAGGCGCGAAAGCGUGGGGAGCAAACAGGAUUAGAUACCCUGGUAGUCCACGCCGUAAACGAUGAGUGCUAAGUGUUAGAGGGUUUCCGCCCUUUAGUGCUGAAGUUAACGCAUUAAGCACUCCGCCUGGGGAGUACGGCCGCAAGGCUGAAACUCAAAUGAA
rnacentral:rRNA from 1 species